rnacentral:rRNA from 1 species
CCUACGGGAGGCAGCAGUGAGGAAUAUUGGUCAAUGGGCGCGAGCCUGAACCAGCCAAGUCGCGUGAGGGAAGACGGUCCUAUGGAUUGUAAACCUCUUUUGUCGGGGAGCAAAAGACGCCACGCGUGGCGUUCCGAGAGUACCCGAAGAAAAAGCAUCGGCUAACUCCGUGCCAGCAGCCGCGGUAAUACGGAGGAUGCGAGCGUUAUCCGGCUUUAUUGGGUUUAAAGGGUGCGCAGGCGGAAGAUCAAGUCAGCGGUAAAAGUGAGAGGCUCAACCUCUUCGAGCCGUUGAAACUGGUUUUCUUGAGUGAGUGAGAAGUAUGCGGAAGGCGUGGUGUAGCGGUGAAAUGCAUAGAUAUCACGCAGAACUCCGAUUGCGAAGGCAGCAUACCGGCGCUCAACUGACGCUCAUGCACGAAAGUGUGGGUAUCGAACAGAAUUAGAUACCCCUGUAGUC